AAGGAGACCUGGGCCAACCUGUGUGGAGCCAAAAUAUUGCACAGACACCAGCAAUGUACCCACUCACACGGGGACCCGGUGUCAUUGCCAGAGGGUGAAUCAGUGCUGCCUUGAAAUACCACGGAGCCGCAGGAAAGCAGAAGGAUGGCACCCGGCUGCCGGAGCAUGUCUUGUGUGGAUGUGGAGAACAGAAACCUGCCGAGAUGGGUACCUGAGCUCUGUUUCUGCUGUAAGCAACAUGUCUGAGGCUGUAGCAGUUGGACAGGUGGAGCAGCACCAUUGGAAGCCCUGUGCUACAGGAUGAGAGCUGUCAGAUUGUACAAGCACUGGUGGUCAUAGGAGAGACAGCUUCGUCACCCUCCCUUCCAUAACUAAAGGAGGAGGAGAGAGCAGAUAGUCUAGAACAAACCUACUGAAAUCAACUGGGAUCCCUUCUAUAACAUCUUCACUAAAAGUGUAAACCUUUGUCUUUCUUUUGCUUUGAGGUUUUGUUGAAAUGUCAAGACUUCUAAUAAUCUAUUCAGAAAUAUAUAAUGAGCGAGCUUCUGAAAACAUGACUGGAAUAUGUAGCGCUGGCUCUGAGCAGCAAGUUGUAAGAAAUGCUGUGUGCUUUGCUACUGCAUUUUAACACUGGGUCUGUCUCUUUGCUGGUAUAAUUGGUCCAGUUUCAAUUAAUUAGCAGUAACAAAACUCUACAUACUGACUUCCAGAGAAUGUGAUUAAUCUACCUUUGACAUAAAACUGUACUUAUGGUUUGCUACUGUACAUACUUUUCUGGGUUUGAAUGCAAUGUCAUCUUUCUUAGUAGCACCACUGCUUAUCAGAGAGUUCAGAUAAACAACACUGUCCUGUGCUGGUUUCUCAAGACGGGGUUUUUCUAGAGGUGGCAGAGAUGCAUGUGAUGGCUGGAAGAAAAGAGACUGAUCAAUUAAAUGUUACAUCUG
rnacentral:lncRNA from 7 species